UGUAAAUGGCAUUGUAUCAGCAAAAGCUGUGACUGUGGUGGAACUGAGGAACAGGUCAGACACCGGCCGAGCCAACAGAUCACCUCAGACCACCAUCCUGCCGUCUGUGAGAGUUCCUUCAAACUGUCAGCGAGAUUUCAGCCUGUUGGCCUUUGACCCUGAUGGAGACCAGGUUACGUGCAGAUAUGGAAACACGUCACUGUCAGAGUGUAACCCCUGCACACCACCGUCUGUUCUCAGACUCUCAUCAUCUUGUACUCUGUCCUUCAGCCCCACUAUUAGCAGUCAAGAAGGUCCAUACGCUGUGCAGCUGGUGAUGGAAGACUUUCCCAGACAGACCAUCAACCUGACUCAGACCAACGGGCUGCAGACGUUGAAAACUACCAGUGACGCCAUCAGCAAAAUACCUAUCCAGUUUGUUUUAAGGGUGGAUCCUGUGGUGCCGUCCUGCACAGAGGGACUCUAUCUGCCCAAGUUCCUGCCUCCAACCCCAGACAACAGAGCUCGGCUGUACACCAGUGUCAAUCAGACAGUGGAAAUCAGGAUCAAAGCUGAGGCAAAUAUCUCCACGUAA
ensembl:lncRNA